AGCCAGUUUUUAGUUUCUUUCUUCUUCAGGGAUAGAGAAGAGGUUAGUCUUUGUUACCAACAACUCCACUAAGUCCAGGAAACAGUAUGGGAAAAAGUUUGAAGCACUUGGUCUUAAUGUCAGUGAGGAAGAAAUUUUUGCGUCAUCUUUUGUUGCUGCAGCAUAUUUGAAGUCCAUUGGCUUCCCGAAAGAUAAAAAGGAUCUGCAAAGACACUAGUGAGUACUAAACAUAGGACUGGAGGUGGCACUGGCAGUGGAAACAACAAGGUAAUUGCUUACACUCAGUUGUUAUUUUUUUAUUUUUUAUUUUAUUUGUUAUGUUUUUAGUCAUUAGUUUUGUAUUUGGGAAUCUGAAAAGUUCAUAAAUUUUGGAUUUUUUUUACUACCUUAUGGGGUGAAUUAGGCUGUCUUGAAAUUGUAUUUGUCAUCCCUAUAGCGAUUACGCGAGUAAACAAAAUUUGGUAAGAAAAUGUGGUCAUUCUAAAUAAACAUAGCUUGUCUCUGAUUAUUAUUUUUUUUUAUUUUUUAAGGUUUCUCAUAAACUUAGCUGAACCAGUGUAUUAGGCCUGAUUGCAAGAGGAUGAUUGUUAUCCUUGGUUCUCUUAAUGUGAGGAUUUUUUUUUAUUUUUUAUUUUUAUAAUUUAUAAUUUUUUAUUUCUGACUACAUUUUCUUAGCAAUCAAAUGAGGAAAUUAUUUAGCUUCCUAAGGCAAAGACUUGUGCUCUAACUCGAUUUUUAUUGGUUUGAGCAGUGAGACCCACCACUUCUGAGACUGCCACCAAUGCUCUAAGACCACCAAAUAGCCUCUCAAUCCAAUAGACAAGGCUGACAUAUUAGAGGCCUUUUUUGUGAGUUCUCAAUGGAUUAUGGUUGUCUUUAUUAGUGCAUAUUUACUAUCGUUUUGGAGUUUUCUAUCUUUCACUGCCCUUUUGUGUGGGUGUGGAGACAAGUAUUUUGUAACAUUUGUGAACGGUUCAAGUUUCUUAUUCAGGAUGCUAAAACCUUCAUUUAAUGAACAACAAAUGUGUUGGCGUGAAGAGAAGAAUAAAAUCUUGUCACUCUAGGCAUGAGCGACUUGUGAGAGAAGACGAGACUCGAAUCGGGUUCCCGGUUUGAGGGUUAGAGCCAGAUUUCACUCUAGGAAAACUAGUUCCUGAAGAACCUUAGAAUUUGAAAUGUUGAUGUCCCAAAAUCACCAAACGGCAUCGGAUUAGCACGAAAAUUGGCACACACAACCGCCUAGGCACAAGAGACUUGUGGGAGAAGACGGGACUUGAAUUGGGUUCCCGGUUUGGGAGUUGGAGCC